UGACAGCCUGUACCAUUAGCCGUCCAGUACAACUGAUGCGGCCCUGAGGGUUUGCAGCCAUAAUUGUAUAAUUCCCAUCAUCAUCUAGGGUGGAGGCUGUGGUAUGGAGGGAGCAGGUCCCAUCGAGAUCUCUUUGAAUGGUGUAGUGAUCACUCUUUGGAGAGAUCUGCUUCCCAUCUUUAAACCAAUAGAUCUUUGGCUUUGGAUUUCCAGCCACUCUACAUGUGAAAGUUACUGGCAUUCCCUCAAAGAUCUUGUAAUGUUUCAGCUUCAUCUCAAAGAAUGGUGCCAUUCCAUUUUCCACAGGCACAUCUCCAUACUGAACUUCAUCACCUGAUUCAUCCACAGGAGACCUUUCUAGCCUGUACUCUAUUUCACUGAUGAGUCUCUGUUCACAGCUGGAGACUUUGUAUUCCUGAUUAGCUGUUUCCUCUUCUGGCUCCUGAAUAUUAAAGACAGUUGCACUGUCAGCACCUAGCAGUCGACGAGCCAUUCUUUCUUCGUAUGUUAACCUCGGCUGGCCAUUGUUCAGGAGGUCCUCCUUGAAGCGAAGUUUUCGUUCCAGGUCUUGAAUAACAGCAUCCUUUGUGCCUUGAAUUUCCUCAUCGGAGGCUAUUCUAGCAGUUCUACUGGCCUUCUUUGGAAAUCCUGGUGGGGUGAACCAUCCCAAAGAAAGGAGGAUGGGCUUGGGAAGGGAGGGCUCGGCUCAGGUCGGGGGGACCCCUCCGUCCCCACCCUCUCCCCGCCAGCUGCCAGGGAAUGAUGUCAUCGCCUCUCCCGGCCCUCACCCCUGUCUCUGCCAGCCCCGCUUUCUCUGCUCUCCCACCCCAGGUCUGACCCCUCAGGGAGCGUGGCCAAGAUUAAGAGAGGGGCGGGGGGCCGUGGGGGUGCGAGGUGUUCAGAGAAGAGUUAGGAGAGCGGGAGGGAUCGUCCGUGGCAGCAGAGCAUCUUCUCCCGUCUGGGCCCUGCCAAGAUGAUGCAGACAUUCCUAUCUGGAGCUCCGCUUUCAGGGAUCUGUGCUCCCGCGGGCCGGGGGAGGGAGAGGGCUCGGGAAGGAACCGGCCGGGUGGAAAGUGCGCUGACGAGUCUCUUGUCCUCCCCGCCCCCACCCUGUCCCGAGCCCUGCACUCCCGACUCGCGGCCCACCCUGCACGCUGCACUCCCUUUAAUUCACACAUUUCUUCCACCAGCCUCAGGGCCGAUUCCCCGCGCCUACCGUGCCCGGAAAGAUGCGUACACGUGGACCAGUUUUCACUUUUCAGUGCCGAAAUCCAUGAAGAUUUAAGGCACUGAUGCAAAACACUGAAUAUUCCAAUGUUUGCAACUUUGAAGGUUUUACACACGAACCGUGGGAGGUGUGGAUACAUCUUGGCCAUCACUUUGAACAAGCCUCAGAAUUGCUAAAACUAGUAUCAGUAGAAGCACUGAUGAGAAUUUCUGCCAAGUUUGAAAAAGAAUAUUCCAUCCUCCUCUGAACACUGAAGAUUCUGAUCAAGUCUUCUCCUUCUAUUACUUUUAUUUCAUUCUUCCUUGACUAAAACUUAGCGCUCUGUGGAUUUGAGAUAAGA
rnacentral:lncRNA from 1 species